GUUUAAACUUUAUGUUUUGUGGUUCAGUCAGUGUUAGAAGAGUGGGUAGACGGACCGUGGGAAAAAAUUUGGCCGCAUGAAUUCAGGGGCUAAAAAUAUCCAGGGUCCGCGGUCAUUGAAUUUGGCCGGAAAGAAGCUUGCGCUCCCUCCGUUCAAAUCAAAACAUGAACAGUGCACAGAAAAAAGUGUGAAGGGUCGAUAAAUCUUCCCCUCGCCAUUUUUAAUGAUCCUUCCGCAGGUUCACCUACGGAAA
rnacentral:misc_RNA from 1 species